UGGGGUUUCUAAUCGGCAUUUACCAUGACAAAUUUUAUGCAAUGCCCUUGGAAAUCCCAAA
rnacentral:pre_miRNA from 1 species